rnacentral:rRNA from 1 species
CAGCAGCCACGGGAAUACGUAGGGUGCGAGCGUUAAUCGGAAUUACUGGGCGUAAAGCGUGCGCAGGCGGUUGUGUAAGACAGGUGUGAAAUCCCCGGGCUUAACCUGGGAACUGCGCUUGUGACUGCACAGCUAGAGUAUGGCAGAGGGGGGUGGAAUUCCACGUGUAGCAGUGAAAUGCGUAGAGAUGUGGAGGAACACCGAUGGCGAAGGCAGCCCCCCUGGGCCAAUACUGACGCUCAUGCACGAAAGCGUGGGGAGCAAACAGGAUUAGAUACCCGAGUAGUCCCUGUCUCUUAUU